rnacentral:rRNA from 1 species
UACGAAGGGGGCUAGCGUUGCUCGGAAUCACUGGGCGUAAAGCGCACGUAGGCGGCUUGCUAAGUCAGGGGUGAAAUCCUGGAGCUCAACUCCAGAACUGCCUUUGAUACUGGCGAGCUUGAGUCCGGGAGAGGUGAGUGGAACUGCGAGUGUAGAGGUGAAAUUCGUAGAUAUUCGCAAGAACACCAGUGGCGAAGGCGGCUCACUGGCCCGAUACUGACGCUGAGGCACGAAAGCGUGGGGAGCAAACAGG